CCGCCGCCACUUCUGCCCGGGGUCUCCGAGGCGCUGCCUGGCUGAGGAGCGUCGGCCGGCUGCCCACGAGCAUCGCGCAGCGGAGCCGCGGAGCCGGCGGGCGGGCGGGCGGGCAGGCGCGCGGACAGACUCGCCGACCAUGGCCGACCAGCGCCAGCGCUCGCUCUCGACCUCUGGGGAGUCGCUGUACCAUGUGCUCGGGCUGGACAAGAACGCCACCUCGGACGACAUCAAGAAGUCCUACCGGAAGCUGGCCCUGAAGUACCACCCCGACAAGAACCCCGACAACCCCGAGGCCGCGGACAAGUUCAAGGAGAUCAACAACGCGCACGCCAUCCUGGCGGACGCCACCAAGCGCAGCAUCUACGACAAGUACGGCUCGCUGGGGCUCUACGUGGCCGAGCAGUUCGGGGAGGAGAACGUGAACACCUACUUCGUGCUGUCCAGUUGGUGGGCCAAGGCCCUGUUCGCCGUCUGCGGGAUCCUCACCUGCUGCUACUGCUGCUGCUGCCUGUGCUGCUGCUUCAACUGCUGCUGCGGGAAGUGCAAGCCCAAGGCGCCCGAGGGCGAGGAGACCGAGUUCUACGUGUCCCCCGAGGACCUGGAAGCGCAGCUGCAGUCGGACGAACGGGGCAGGCACUGACACGGUGCCCGGAUGUGUGUGUGGCGGCCGGGCCCGUUGGGGACGUGGACUCGGAGAGGCCACAGACACGCCGAUUGUCAUACAGCCAGCGUCCGCCACGGAGACCACCCAGCUCACGGCCGACUCCCACCCCAGCUACCACACCGACGGGUUCAACUAAGGGCAGAGCAGCUGGGACUGGCGGAUCAAUCAGCAGCGGCCCCUGCGACCCCAGAAUCAUGAACUGUAGUCAGGGAGGCGGGGCGGGGGCCGCUCUGGCCGCAGGGAAGGGGCCCCUCCCGCCCGCGCGCCGCCCCCCGCCCCGGGAAGUUCGUAGCAUGCGGUAUUUGAAGCAGUGUAGCUACGGUCGCUGUCCCCCGUCCCUCCUCCUCCAGUCGCAUGUGUGGGCUUCUGCUCCGUGUCUGUCUGUGUUGUGGCCGCGCGGCGAGGCGUCCCCCGUGCUCCGGGCACGGCCGGGGUGGGUGCUGCUGCAGGGCUGUGGCGUCUGGUCCAGCGGGGCAGCCACAGGCGGGGCCCCCGGGCCAGCCCGCCGGCCAGGGGCUGAACGGGUCCUCCAUGCGCUGUCUCGCCCCGUGGUGCUGGGGACCGGGACAGUGUGUGCGGGUCCCCUCCACUCCGUGGGCUUGGCCUUGCGGUGGGGCUUCUCCCGAGUGCGUGUGUGCCGCGCGGACUGCAGGGGCCCCCGGCCCUGAGACCCCCUUCCCUGCCUGUGUCUGGCUCGAGCCCCCCGCUCCACCAGUGCGCCCCUCAGCCCAGGAGCUGGGUCGGCGGCCACGCCCGGGCGGCCUCCCCUCUCCCUUCCCUGCGUUGCCGUCCACACUCCCCUGGGCCCUGCGCCCUGCGCCCCACCGUGGCCCCGCUAGUCCUAGUCGGGCUGAGAGUCCAGGCUCCGGCGGCGCCUGGCUGCCCAGCCUGCUCUCUGCUCCCAGAGCCUCGCUCAGCCCUUCCCCUGCUGCUCCCCGGCCAGAGCCAGAGGUGCCCGGGCCCUGGGGAGGGGCCCGCUGGACCAAAGGCCGGCUCUGGCCUGGGAGCCCCGAGGC